UGCUAUCAAAGUCAGUCCGCCCAUCU
rnacentral:piRNA from 1 species